rnacentral:sRNA from 1 species
AUCAGCUACAGUCUGGAAAUUGCUUCUUUUGAGGAAUUCAUGAAAAGAAUCCUUGAAUGCAGGUUUCUGAUAACUUUGGAGAUUUUGCCAUUGGACUAGAGAGAAAAGUUCCAGGACACUAAUUGAAAAGCUGAUGUGUUCUUAAAGAUUAGUAACCCCAUAUGAAGCAGAGUGGGAGUUGAUUGUGUGGACUGAGCUAAUGGAGGACAGAAAUAAUUUUUUAUGGGUUUUUUUUUUUUUGGCUCUUUGAAACAUUGUUGAUUCUUUUUGUUUUGUUUUUCAGAGUCUGGAGAACACUUUUGAGCUAUUUACAACCUUUAAUAAUUGAGUAGAGUAUACUCUUGUAAAUAGAAUUUGAAGCACAUUUCUCUUUCUGCCUGAUUUCUCUAGAAUUUGUAAACUAUUUGUGAAUAUUCUAAAUUUAUGGCAAUAUGGUUGCUCACAUAAGUUCAAUAAUAAUCUGUUUUCUUUUAUAAUGAGACACAGUUGGAGGAACUGGUUAUUUUCCCAGGGCUUUGACUGAAAUGGCCUUGUGAAUGGUUCCAGGAAAGCCAAUUUUGGAGACCCUAUGUGGAUGAUGAUGCUUGCUGUACUUUCUGUGGGUAAUCGGGCCAAGUAUAUGGGACUGAAGCUAAUUUUGCAGGUGAGGAAAUGGAGGUCCAGAGAGAAAAGUGACUCACCCAAGCUGAAAACAAUUGCAGGAAGAAAAGCUGUUAGGAAUCUUGGAGUACACUAAAGAUGAGGAACUGAGUCACUGCAAUGCCAAAUGUAACAAGCUGUGGGUCAAAAUUUGGAUGUUUGCAUUGGAAAUUAUUCUGAAGCCACAGACAGGGCUAAAAGAGUCUAGAAUGUCCUACUAGCUGUUGGAACGUGCUGGAGUUCUAAAGGCAUGCAAAGUAUUGAAUGUGCUUGACCGAUGGACACAGCAGGUAUUUGAAGAGUUUUGAUGCUUCCUUUCUGUUUUCAGCGCUAUUUUUUUGCUUUAUUUCUUUUAAAAAACUUUCCCCACAGAGGCUAUUUAUUACACAGCAGCAGCCAGCAUGCACCAAGCAGAAUUGCUUUUCAUAAUAAACCUAUUCAUCUUCUGGUAUGUCAGAAAUUUCUCAAAUUGAUACUUAUAAUAAAUAUGAUUAAUAACACAUUG